GUGGGGAAUUUUGGACAAUGGGGGCAACCCUGAUCCAGCCAUUCCGCGUGAGUGAAGAAGGCCUUCGGGUUGUAAAGCUCUUUCGGCAGGAACGAAACGGUGAGCUCUAACAUAGCUCGCUAAUGACGGUACCUGAAGAAGAAGCACCGGCUAACUACGUGCCAGCAGCCGCGGUAAUACGUAGGGUGCGAGCGUUAAUCGGAAUUACUGGGCGUAAAGCGUGCGCAGGCGGUUGUGUAAGACAGGUGUGAAAUCCCCGGGCUUAACCUGGGAACUGCGCUUGUGACUGCACGGCUAGAGUAUGGCAGAGGGGGGUGGAAUUCCACGUGUAGCAGUGAAAUGCGUAGAGAUGUGGAGGAACACCGAUGGCGAAGGCAGCCCCCUGGGCCAAUACUGACGCUCAUGCACGAAAGCGUGGGGAGCAAACAGGAUUAGAAACCCUUGUAGUCC
rnacentral:rRNA from 1 species